UCCGGUGGCGAUAGCGGAGGGGAAACACCCGUUCCCAUCCCGAACACGGCCGUUAAGCCCUCCAGCGCCGAUGGUACUGGGGUGGCGACGCCCCGGGAGAGUAGGUGCCGCCGGAA
rnacentral:rRNA from 1 species